CAGUCGCCGCGGGAAUACGGAGGGUGCAAGCGUUAAUCGGAAUUACUGGGCGUAAAGCGCACGCAGGCGGUUUGUUAAGUCAGAUGUGAAAUCCCCGAGCUUAACUUGGGAACUGCAUUUGAAACUGGCAAGCUAGAGUCUUGUAGAGGGGGGUAGAAUUCCAGGUGUAGCGGUGAAAUGCGUAGAGAUCUGGAGGAAUACCGGUGGCGAAGGCGGCCCCCUGGACAAAGACUGACGCUCAGGUGCGAAAGCGUGGGGAGCAAACAGGAUUAGAUACCCGAGUAGUCCCUGUCUCUUAUAA
rnacentral:rRNA from 1 species